rnacentral:rRNA from 1 species
UUGAACGCUGGCGGAAUGCUUUACACAUGCAAGUCGAGCGGCAGCGCGGGGGCAACCCUGGCGGCGAGCGGCGAACGGGUGAGUAAUGUAUCGGAACGUACCCUGUCGUGGGGGAUAACACAGCGAAAGCUGUGCUAAUACCGCAUACGUCCUACGGGAGAAAGUGGGGGACCGCAAGGCCUCACGCCAUAGGGGCGGCCGAUGCCGGAUUAGCUAGUUGGUGGGGUAAAGGCUCACCAAGGCGACGAUCCGUAGCUGGUCUGAGAGGAUGAUCAGCCACACUGGGACUGAGACACGGCCCAGACUCCUACGGGAGGCAGCAGUGGGGAAUUUUGGACAAUGGGCGAAAGCCUGAUCCAGCCAUGCCGCGUGAGUGAAGAAGGCCUUCGGGUUGUAAAGCUCUUUCGGCCGGGACGAAAUCGCCCCCCGUAAUAUGGGGGGUGGAUGACGGUACCGGAAGAAGAAGGACCGGCUAACUACGU